UGUGCACAGCCCCCUGCUUCACCACCUGAACGUCACUCAUGUCCACCUGAGGGCAGAGAAAUGGCCAAUCGGGAGCUGCCAGGGCAUCUGUUCGGACGUGCGAUUGGUCCAGAGCAUUGGUACCUCCCCCCCUCCAGUAGGGCAGUUCCCAUUGCAUGUGGGCAGAGCUGUCAGACUAGGAAAACAAAGCAUCUACUAGACGGUCCUGGCACCUUACCUUCCACAGUGAGGUUGGAGGAGCUGACGUACUCAUUGGAGUCGUUGUCCUGAGAACACACAAUGGCGUACUCCCCAGAGUCGGCCAGGUCGCAGUCGUCA